UUUCCGUAGGUGAACCUGCGGAAGGAUCAUUAUCGUACAAAAUGUGAGGGGCAUGCUAGGGCUGUCGCUGACCCAGAAGUCGUGCACACCGAGUGUGUCCUCUUGCAUAAUAAUCCAUCUCACUCUUUGUGCAUCACCGCGUGGUCACCCUUCGGGAUCAUCUCGGAGGUUGUCUCGCUUUUUCACACCAACUCCCCUUUUAAAAUUGUAGAAUGACCACAUUUUUUCAAUCAAUACAACUUUCAACAACGCAUCUCUUGUCUCUCUCAUCGAUGAAGA
rnacentral:misc_RNA from 1 species